ensembl:lncRNA
GGCAAAUAAAGGGAUUUAAUAUUUAUUAGCUGGUUUUAUUAUAAGUUACUAUUUCUGCUACUCCUAUUAUUACUCAAUAAUAGAGUUUGUUGAGUCGCUGGAUAUGUUGUUUAGAGGAGGAGGGAGUGAUUGGCAAUCAGGAGUUGUAGGUGGUAUUUUCAGAAUAAAGGUAGCAUUUGAGAUGGGCCUUGAGGCAUGGGUAUAAUUUGGUCAUGGACAAAUGGAGAGGAAGUCAGUCUUCAGUUGAAGAUGGUGUGUGUGAACAAAAGAUGUGGUGUGAACCAAAGAGUGGUAGGUGAUCAUAAGGAGUUGAUUAUUAGAGAAGAGCAAGUAUUUUAAAGUGGCAGAAACAUAAUAUAUAAGAACUGAGAGAUGCGACAUGAAAGACAGGUUAGAGGUUGAUCUGGGUGGCGUUGGACGCCAAACUGUAGACUUUGGGACUUAGAAUGUGAGUGAAGUAGCAGUAUCCAAAGUUUUGUUUUGUUUUCCUCCCGGAGGGUGACUGUUACAUCUGUAACAUGUUACAUGUAACAUCUGUUACUAUGGUAGUCUUUUUUUAAAAAAAAUAAUUAACAAUAGUCAACAAUAACACCAUGGUUCCUAUUCUAUUUAAUUAAAUUUUCCUGUGACAAUAUUAGGUAUACAAACUGACCCUACCUACUCAGCCCAAUUUUAUAUAAUAAAUCUCUUGAUUUGUGAUUUUUAUUAACAUUCAUUUCUUUCUAGGACCCAGUUACCAAACCUGGACUGAGGGCUUCAGGUCCUUAGCUAUUAGGGUUUAGAUGGCAGUGAUAUCCAUGCUGAAUUGAUGCCAAGAGACUCUUGUUAUUGUGGGAUAAGUGAUAUUUCACUUCUGUUUUGUUCUCUUGUCUGAAAGCUAUUAUUACUGAACACACAGUCUUCACUAUCUGAUGCUAAUGAAACAGGAUUCUAUACAGGUGAAGGGCUGAAAGGUGAUGAUGUCAAAGGAAGUGAUACAGGAAGUGAGAAAGUUCCUUAUUGCAUUUCCUGUUCUUGUUUCUUUCUCUUUUUCUCUUUCUUCUCUCCCUCUUUCCACCUCCAUCCUUCUCUGUAUUUCUCUCAACAUAUGCAUACAUGCAUGUAAUGUGGACCUUCAGACUGCUCAGCAGAGAGAAGUUUAUAUGAAGCAGACACAAGUGACAGAGCCUGGCUGCAGCUUUGUUCUGAUGCUGGAGGGCAUCUGGAGUGUGAGGAUUAAGCUUAGAUGUCAGCUUGACUGGCCUAAGGGAUGCCCAGGGAGGUGGUCAAACAUUAUUUCUGGAUAUGUGUGUGAGAGAGUUUUUCUGGAAGAGAUUACCAUUUGAUUCAUUAGACCAAGUCAAGAUGAUCCAGUGGGAGUGGGGCAUUAUCCGAUCCUUUGGGGGCCUGGAUGGAACAGAAAGGUGAAGAAAGGGCUGAUUCUCUCUCUCCAGCUGAGAUGUCCAUUUCCUCCUGCCAUGAGACCUUGGAGCUCCUGAUUCUUCUAGCCUUUGGACUCAGAUCGAAUUUAACACAACCUUUCUUGAUUGUCCAGUGUGCAGAUGGCAGACUAUGGCCCUUCCAGGCCUCCAUAACCAUGUAAUCCUGUUCCUAUCAUAAAUCUCCUCUCCUAAAGCUCUCUAUACAUUCUGUUGGUUCUGUUUCUCUGGAAAACCAUUACCAAUGCACUGAGUCCUGGAUCCUUGCCUUCCCUCUCAGUGCCAAGUAAAUGCUCAGUCCCUGGGGUCCACGGUCAGCCAUACAGAGGGAAGUGUCAGGGGUGAGCCAGUCUUCAGCUUGUCUUCCCAAGAUAGUGUGGGAUGCAUUAACAAGUGCUUAUCCAUGCUCUUUUUGUUUUUAUUUUAUUUUUAUUUUUUUGCAGCAUAUACUCACAAUAAUACUGUGCGUGAACUGUUCUCAUUCUCUAUAUCACAGUGAGUAUGCUGCUGCAGCAGCAGGCUAGGAGGAGAGGGGCCUGGAUGGAACAGGGACAAUGCAAUGUCCCUAUGCAAUCUAGGGACAAGCCAUUAAAGCUGCCUCUUACUGGUGUAAUAAUUUCAGACAUGUGAUUCCUUCCUUAAUUUCUGAGUUCCAACUAUGAAUCUCUUUCUGAUAGGGUCAUGAGGUAGCUCUAUUGUAGAUAAACCUCUCUGUGGCUUCUAAGUGGGGCUAGCCCCACCAUGAAUCCAUGCCUGGAAAAAGUGGGUAUGUCAUAUGCUAAUUAUGAGAUUUAGGUAUCAACUGGAUAGAAGAGACACAAAGGCCUCUAUAGCUCUGGUUUCUGGGUGAGCUGGGAUCUCACCCAGGGAUAAGAACCACCACCAUUUCCCAGACCUACAGGGAAUU